UCACAGUUAAAUAUUGGAAAACUAGCAAUUUUCAGGGCCUAUCUGCCUACACUCUGGGUAACGCAGGUACCUGAUGACUUUUCUGCCAAUACAUGCACAGUUGCAAGAAAUCGCUCAACUACAUGAACACCAGCAUUGUGUCACCUCUGAAUCAGACCCCUUAAUCCGGCUCUGCAUCCUCCAUCCCCUGCCACCAUCUUCUUUUAGUGUAACUGUUAUCCAUAAGUGAUAACUAAAUGUAACCUCUAUACAG